rnacentral:lncRNA from 1 species
GACCCUCUAUCAGAUUCCUCAUGAAACCGAACUUUCCCAACAGAAAGUCUCCAUCCGGAUUUCUACAACAGAUGACUCCCGCCUGCAGCAUCAGCGCUCUAGGCACCCAACAACAAUAGAUCCGUCAGCAACUUCGAAAACAUCCGAGCUUCUCUUGGAUCGACGAGACAGAGAGCUAUUCCGCUCCAUCAGACAUCCCAGUCGAGCUUCAGCCG